AGAGUUUGAUCCUGGCUCAGGACGAACGCUGGCGGCGUGCCUAAUACAUGCAAGUCGAACGCUUUUUCUUUCACCGGAGCUUGCUCCACCGAAAGAAAAAGAGUGGCGAACGGGUGAGUAACACGUGGGUAACCUGCCCAUCAGAAGGGGAUAACACUUGGAAACAGGUGCUAAUACCGUAUAACACUAUUUUCCGCAUGGAAGAAAGUUGAAAGGCGCUUUUGCGUCACUGAUGGAUGGACCCGCGGUGCAUUAGCUAGUUGGUGAGGUAACGGCUCACCAAGGCCACGAUGCAUAGCCGACCUGAGAGGGUGAUCGGCCACACUGGGACUGAGACACGGCCCAGACUCCUACGGGAGGCAGCAGUAGGGAAUCUUCGGCAAUGGACGAAAGUCUGACCGAGCAACGCCGCGUGAGUGAAGAAGGUUUUCGGAUCGUAAAACUCUGUUGUUAGAGAAGAACAAGGAUGAGAGUAGAACGUUCAUCCCUUGACGGUAUCUAACCAGAAAGCCACGGCUAACUACGUGCCAGCAGCCGCGGUAAUACGUAGGUGGCAAGCGUUGUCCGGAUUUAUUGGGCGUAAAGCGAGCGCAUGCGGUUUCUUAAGUCUGAUGUGAAAGCUCCUCGGCUCAACCGGGGAGGGUCAUUGGAAACUGGGAGACUUGAGUGCAGAAGAGGAGAGUGGAAUUACAUGUGUAGCGGUGAAAUGCGUAGAUAUAUGGAGGAACACCAGUGGCGACGCGGCUCUCUGGUCUGUAACUGACGCUGAGGCUCGAAAGCGUGGGGAGCGA
rnacentral:rRNA from 1 species